AUUGAACGCUGGCGGCAGGCUUAACACAUGCAAGUCGAGCGGGGGAGGUUGCUUCGGUAACUGACCUAGCGGCGGACGGGUGAGUAAUGCUUAGGAAUCUGCCUAUUAGUGGGGGACAACGUUCCGAAAGGAACGCUAAUACCGCAUACGCCCUACGGGGGAAAGCAGGGGAUCUUCGGACCUUGCGCUAAUAGAUGAGCCUAAGUCGGAUUAGCUAGUUGGUGGGGUAAAGGCCUACCAAGGCGACGAUCUGUAGCGGGUCCGAGAGGAUGAUCCGCCACACUGGGACUGAGACACGGCCCAGACUCCUACGGGAGGCAGCAGUGGGGAAUAUUGGACAAUGGGGGGAACCCUGAUCCAGCCAUGCCGCGUGUGUGAAGAAGGCCUUAUGGUUGUAAAGCACUUUAAGCGAGGAGGAGGCUCUUUUGGUUAAUACCCAAGAUGAGUGGACGUUACUCGCAGAAUAAGCACCGGCUAACUCUGUGCCAGCCGCCGCCGUAAGAC
rnacentral:rRNA from 1 species